UACGUAGGGCGCAAGCGUUGUCCGGAAUUAUUGGGCGUAAAGAGCUCGUAGGCGGCUUGUCACGUCGGGUGUGAAAGCCCGGGGCUUAACCCCGGGUCUGCAUUCGAUACGGGCUAGCUAGAGUGUGGUAGGGGAGAUCGGAAUUCCUGGUGUAGCGGUGAAAUGCGCGGAUAUCAGGAAGAACACCCGUGGCUAAGGCGGCUCUCUAGUACGGUACUGACGCUGAGACGCGAAAGCGUGGGGAGCGAACAGG
rnacentral:rRNA from 1 species